rnacentral:ncRNA from 1 species
UAUAGGUUCUUAGAUAAUUUUAUCUAAAGAUUAAAAGGGAAAGUGGUGAAAAUCUACUGCAGCCCCCGCUACUGUAAAAGCUGACGAAUCUCUAAAUGGAUCCACUGACAUUAUGUUGGGAAGGAAGAGAAGAGGAUGAAGCUUAAGUCAGGAGACCUGCCUAUAGUUAUG